rnacentral:lncRNA from 1 species
AUAAAAUAAUGUUUCUUCUCAAUGAAAUAUUGUUGCAGGUUUUCUCAAUUAUAGCGGUAACAUUGUCGUUACUAAAUAGAAAAAAAAGAUGUUUCCACUAUCUGAUAAUAGGGUUAAAACUUUUAUUAAAAUGUAUAUCUUCAUAUAAUUGGCAAUUUUAAAUUACAUAGAUGUUAUCGGAGUAGAACGCAAACUACCAGCAAUCACAGUAAAAAUAAAACGCAGCCAUUAUUACCAUGCAUUUGCAAUUUUUCCAUAUAUUUUUCAAUUUCAUUCAAUGCCGAUCAUUACAUGUAUGACGACCAGUAGACGUCAAUUUUGACUUAAUUAGAUUGAGUUAAAACGUAUACAAAUAUGAUAUUGUGUCUGUUAAAUCAAUAUAGAAUAAGAUUAUCAAUGAGACUUUAUAUAUAUAUCACAAGAGACAAAGGGAAGAGGGUAUCAAAAGUAAAAUCACAAAAAUACUGAACUCGGAGGAAAAUUCAAAACGGAAAGUUUCUAAUCAAAUGGCAAAAUAUAAAAAGCUAAAAAAAAAACUGGCACAUUCUUGACUAGUACAAGCAUUUCCUUAUGUAGCCUCGUUUUAUAGCUCGCUUAACCUCUCACUUGUAUGUCAGUUGCAUAUAUAAACAACUAUAUGGCAAUGUUUGGCCCACAAAAAUGAGAAAACACAUACCAUAGAGCAAAGUAUAAAACGACCAUGUAUGACGAAACCUUCAAUUAAAUUGAGACAACAAUCCAAAGGAAGAGCAGAUAAUAGCCGAAGGCCGUCAAUGGGUCAGUUUGGUACGGUAGUACAAUGACGUCAAUUUUUCAUGUUAAAUCAUGUAUUCCACAUUAAAACCUACAAUAUUUAGAACGAAAUGUACUUCAGUGUUUGUUUUUCUUGUAUCAUGAAUAUCGUUCAACGAAACCAGAACUUAAAUUGAAAUAGAGAGAUAUUUAUCAGUCUGACUACUUGACAUAAUUUGAUGCUAAAUGGUUGAGAUCCAGGAGCUUGUGAGUAUCCCAAAUGAACCCUCUACCAGGCAAACUGUCAUU